AUGGUUUGUUGCCAGUGUCGUAUACAAGUGACUCACUGCUAGUAGUUUCUGUCGCACUUCUCUCAGUCCCCACUCGUGAACAAUACCUGACAUUUUGCACGAUUAUUGACGCGUGUCACCCUCGGUUAUUAUGACGAAUAGAUAAUAAUAAAUUCAAAAUCCCAGCCUGUCUCUCAAUAAAAUUCACAUUCGGCCGAAACAGCUCAUCUUACAACUGACGUUUCGUUUUCAAAUGAAAAUGGCCGCACACAAAGGUACACGCAGUGACAAUAUUAUUACGGGGAUGCACACGCAAUGCGAUGUUAUCGUGAAAACAAUUACCAGGCGGAAACCGCGUGUAAUUUGUGAUAAGUAAAGAAAAAGAAACGAUCGUUACUGUCAAUUAUACAGACGACAAUUAUCAGUUACUGGCAAACAAGAAUAGAUCAUGUUUUUCACAUCUCUGACACUCGACCUACCAUUACGUCUAGGGACAUUGUACUGGGUGUAUCGAUCGACGGAUAAAAGGAGUACAGACAGACGUAGAGUCGCACAUCCUGUCAAUAUACGUCGGAGAAAAAUAUAUCUGACUAUUGGACAUCUCCCCUGGAGAAAAGUUUAUGGUCAAUGACACUACGGUGUUCUUACUCUCGUGGGAUUAAUUAGGUUCCACCCUAUUUUCUAUGGUACAAUUGGACAAUUGACCCUACGUGCAUGCGUCGGGAAUUACGUUUUCCCCCAGAUUCUGCAACAACACUAAAGCAUCCCUAAGGAAAAUAAUAGGAAUUCUAGUCUUACUUACUUCAGUGUAAGUAAGCGUCACGGGAUGAUGUAUAUGUUGUUAGUCAGUGGUACUAAUUAUUUGGAUCAAUAAGGAUCAAAGGUUAACUUAAUAUUCGUAUAUAUAGAAAAUUAUUAUUACGUUAUUUAUGUCAGUCAAUGGUUUGUGCUGGUGCAUAAAUUGUUAACACACUGUUUUUUAGUAAAGUAAUUAUUAUCGUGUACUGGCUAUGGACCAUGUUAGUUUAAUUUAGACUUUUGAAAAUAUGUUCUAGUUCUAUACGAUUCUCGACAGCAUAAUGUACAAGAUGAUCUAGAAUGAUUUUGAGAUACGGAUUUUAAAUGAUUCUGAACAAAAGUCAGUGAAGUGUACAACGAUCGUUCGUGCGUUAAA